GUGAGGAAUAUUGCGCAAUGGAGGCAACUCUGACGCAGCCAUGCCGCGUGCAGGAAGAAGGCGCUACGCGUUGUAAACUGCUUUUAACCGGGAAGAAACCCCAGGACGUGUCCUGGGUUGACGGUACCGGAGGAAUAAGCACCGGCUAACUUCGUGCCAGCAGCCGCGGUAAUACGAAGGGUGCAAGCGUUAUCCGGAUUCAUUGGGUUUAAAGGGUGCGUAGGCGGAGCGUUAAGUCAGUGGUGAAAUCCUGCAGCUUAACUGUAGACUUGCCAUUGAUACUGGCGCUCUUGAGUGCGCUUGAAGUGGGCGGAAUGUGCCGUGUAGCGGUGAAAUGCUUAGAUAUGGCACAGAACACCAAUUGCGAAGGCAGCUCACUAAGGCGAUACUGACGCUGAGGCACGAAAGCGUGGUGAUCGAACAGGAUUAGAAACCCGGGUAGUCC
rnacentral:rRNA from 1 species